rnacentral:rRNA from 1 species
CUCUCGAUUGGUCUCGGUCUUGGCACGCCAAGUGCCGGCACCGUUGGCCGAGAAGAAGCUCGAACUCGAUCGCUUGGAGAAAGUAAAAGUCGUAACAAGGUUUCCGUAGGUGAACCUGCGGAAGGAUCAUUA